UACGUAGGGUGCAAGCGUUGUCCGGAAUCAUUGGGCGUAAAGAGCGUGUAGGCGGCUCGAUUAGUCCGCUGUAAAAGUCCAGGGCUCAACCCUGGGAUGCCGGUGGAAACUGUCGGGCUAGAGUCCGGGAGAGGCGAGUGGAAUUCCUGGUGUAGCGGUGAAAUGCGCAGAUAUCAGGAGGAACACCAAUGGCGAAGGCAGCUCGCUGGAACGGUACUGACGCUGAGACGCGAAGGCGUGGGGAGCAAACAGG
rnacentral:rRNA from 1 species